UAUGGCGGUCACCAGGACUCGUACGGAGACCACCGCGACCCUUACAGCAACGAGUACAACCCGUACUCCAGCUCGCGCAGCUACAACCCCUACCACGAGUACCAGCAGCUACAGUACGAGCGCAUGCGCGAAUACCAGGACCGCUACAUGCGCAUGAUGGAGGAGCUGGGGGUGCCGGGCGUGUGGGUGGACGGGCGAUUCCGCCGGCAGGACAACGCCGACCAAGAGGGCGUGCACGACGCCUACUACGCCGCCCGCGGCCCACACAGUCGCCACCCCUACGACUACUGAUGCCACCACCACCGCCACCACCAGCACCACCAGCAGCACCACCAACACCACCAGCACCACCAGCACCACCAGCACCACUAGCACCACCAGCACCGCUAACACGAUCGCUACAGACACAUCGUGAUGAACACUAUCGACACAUCACCACCACCUCCACCAUCACCGCUUUCACUGCCAAGCACCAUCGCUACCACCAGCAUCACCAACACGGCCACUGCCAACACCACCGCCACCCACCAGCAAAACCAACGCCACCAGCACCACCAACACGACCAGUACCAACGCAUCAUCGUGACCACUGCUGACGCAUCAUCACCACCACCGUCAACGCUCUCACUGCCACUGCCAACACCACCGCCACCAGCACCACCAACACGACCACCACCGACACAUCAUCCACCAACACGACCAACACGACUACUACCAACACAUCAUCCACCAGCACCGCUCUCACUGCCACUGCCAACACUGCCACCGUUAUCCCAAUUGCUAUCGCCGCCACCACCAACACCAGUACCACCGCACCAGUACCAUUGCCAUCGCAACGCCACCAUCACCACAACACCACCAUCACCAUCACCACUGCCAUCAACAACGACAUCAACGUCACCACGGCCAUCACCACCGCCGCCACCAUGAUCACCAUCACCGCCAUCAACAUCCUCACCGUAACCCACACUCCACACUCCACAACCGCUAUAAUCGGAUUGCCAGCAGGCCGGUGCGUGCCGGCAACCCCUUACGAUUACUCCACUCUCACCGUGCCGUCGGAUUACUUCCGGUAAACUUGUUCCGAUUGAUUAUUUGUGGUCGUUGUUCGUCGUUAAGAAUGUUUCUAAAAUGAGUCAAAAGAACAAUUGACAAUUGACGGGUGGUGAGGCGGGGCGGGGGAGGGGUGCUAAUGAUGGAGUCUAAUCAAGUGGGUUAAUGUGAGAACAACCAUGAGAUAUUGAUUACUUUUUAAAAGUAACCCUACCCAACGCUGCUCACACAUUAGCCACCUCUGUCUUCCCAGUAACGUUAAGCCGGCCAUUGGUGUGUGGUCAGAAUCGUUGGGCCAAAGCUGGGCCCAGAGACGUUGAUCCAACGUUUCCAUGUGCUGUGCACCGCCAGGGGUUGAAAAAAUGUGAACACUUCCGAGAAUUUGCAACGACACCACGAGAAAUGCGCCUCUGGACGCUGGAGACCACCUGGAGAAGAUUCCAGGCACGUGUUGACAACGAUGGCGAACAAGUGGAGACUCUUUGACUUGAAGCUACUAACAUUACAUUUGUUAUGAUGUUUCAGUGUAACACAUUCCUGCGGAGGGAGCUGGUAGGAACGUUGGGUUGCUCGGUCAAUGGCCAGGGUCAACGGCGGCGUGGUGUAUUCCGCAAAUAUGGCCGACUGUGAGGGCGGGCACAAGCCGGCGUGAGUAGGUUAAACGUUGAGUUGUAUAAGGGCACCACGGGGUGACCAGCCCCUCCCCACCCAGCCCCACCCCACCCUCCCCACCCAGCCCCUCCCCACCCUCCCCUCUCCACCCAGCCCCACCCCUCCCAUUUUUGGAUGCACGACGAACGGACGGACACAAUAAUCCCCUGUGGGCUGGUGGAACCAGAUGGUUCCUACCAGUAUUAUCCGUUCUUUAAUUAAAAACGAUAUUCCCA